rnacentral:misc_RNA from 1 species
CUGGCCAGCCCCUUUGAUUGCUUGAGACACUUUGUACUGCCUUCUUACAAAAUCAAUGUAUGAUGCUCCCUUCUCCCACUCAGAAUAACUCAGCAAUUGAAUAUCCUGAGUCCUGUGAGAAGCAUCCCAAUUUUUUUCCAAAGGUUCUGGUGUUAACUUAAUUCCAUCGACAACUCCACCAAAAGAUCCAGAUGUAUUCGAGUUGUUUUCAUCCUUUAGCUGUCCCGCAGAAGCAGAUUUUCCAAUACCCUGCUCUUUGUCUACUGUAUCUGGUUUUGGAGGAGUGCAUGCCUGAGAUAUGAUUCUCAGACAAGGAAGAAUUAUAUGCUCAGCUAUUGCAGGAUGUUUUGCACCCAAUUUGAUGGAUGAAAAUAACAGCUGGAAAACAACACGCAAUCUUGAUUCCCAGAACUCAUCAGCCAAGGAACACACUUCUGAAAGCAGUAAAAGCUCCUCACGAGUGGCAAGGGCAAUGUCCAUCGAGCGAUGAUGUUCAAGACAGUACAUGACUUUCUUCUGUAUUAAACUGUUCAACUCAGUUAUUGCAGUUAUAUCACCUUCAGAGAAAGCACAAAGUACUGCCCUUGAUUGGACACGAGUUGUUUUAGGACCUUGAUGAAUAUUAUUUUCAAACAACUCAGAUAAGAUGCCAGCUGCAACAAGUUGUUUCUUUGAAUUAGGAUGCUUUGAAAGAACCUGCAACAUCUCCAAACACUGUGUUACAAAUGUAGUUGCACAGCCAUAGCAAUUAUUUGGAGACCUGGAAAACACAAAUCUGGAUGCUGCAAUUGCAUCAUCUGAAUGUUUCUGGUGCAAGUAACUCAUCAAAACCCGACGAAGGCCCUGCAAUGUCUGAACACUUUUGCUGACAGAAUCAAAAGCAGCUUUGCACUUUUCACCAUACAAGACACCAAGAAGAGCAAUCUUUCUGUUUAUCUUACAUGAAGGUCCAGGCAGAGAGACCAUCAUUUGCUGGAUGGAGUCCUUCUGCUGUGAAUCCAUUUCAUUCUCACCAAUGCUCAACACAAUCUUAAGAAGGGGCUUUUUAAAGCCCAAAAGUUGCUGGUAUCUCCUAUGAGCAUUUUCUGAUUCUGAUUCAAUGGCAGCCAAUCCCCUCUUCAUAUCAUCAUCAUUCUCCAUGUUGUCAAAUGUAAAACUAGGCUUAGCCAUGAAGUUAAACUCGAAACGGCCAUAUUUGCUGAACCCACACUCAUUGCACAGGAAAGAAUCUAAAUUCUCAUAAUUUAUGUUGCGGCAUUGCCUGCACUGAUAUGCAUUCUCAUGGCAAUUGCUGCAAAUUCCAUGCCUAUCAGUGACAGGUCGACUGCAACGCGGGCAUUGCAAUGGUUCAAGCGAUAGAGCCUGAAGAUUUUCAUAGAAAGAAUCUAGUUCAAUCAUGAAGUUACAAGCAGUGAUUGGAAUUCCACUUUUAGCUCAGUCUGGUUGAAAGCAAGAUGACAACUCUUAGCACGCUUCCACAAGGACCAAUUGUUUUUCAACUCUGACAAGUCAGCCACAGGCCGAUUGUUGUAAUACAGAUUCAAAACUUUCACAGAUUUGGACUUGCGUGCAUCAUGAACAUUCAUUGUCACGGUUUGGAUGGUGUAACUUCCAGUACACUUCACUAUGAUGCGAUUGUCAGUGAACUUAGUCUCAGACUUCAAGCUUUCUAGCUUCAUCUUGCUAUAAGGUACCUCAGGAGAGCUGCAGGCAACACAAGGUUCACUCUCCAGAUAGUAACCAUCAAAUUCCACAAUACCACUCAAAGUAUUAUAUAUGCGAGAAUUUGGAUGAUUAGCAAUAAGCUCAUUUUGUGAAUGAAGUGUCUCAAAGAUGCACCUAAUUACAUCAGGGGUCAAGCAACGAUCCACAAGUUCAGUGGUCUGCUGCUUUGAACUAGAAUCAGGGACUUUCCCCAGUAACCAAGUGACCAAGUCAGUGAACUCAACAAUGUUCUGACCAUACAUUGGCAGGUUUUUC